ACACACACACACACACAAACAGACACACACACACACAAAGUCAAACACACACACAAAUCCACACACAUACACACACACACACACACAACGGCACACACACACACAAACACACACACACAUACACACACAACCCGCCCCACACACAUACACACACAGACACCCAGAGACACACACACAAACACACACAAAGGCACACACACACAAACACACACACACAGACACAUACAGACAGACACAUACCCAGACACACAGAGACACACACACACAAACACAAAGACACACAGAUAGACACCCUCACACACACACAGACACACCCUGCACACACAUAUACACAAACACACACACACACAAAUACAGACAGACACAUACACACACAAAGACGCACACACCAAUCACCCAUACACACACACAGAAACACACAUACACAAAAAGACACACACACACACAAACACAGAGACACACGCACACCCACUCACACACACACAAAGAGAGAAACAGACACAUACAUACACACACUCACAAACACAAAUCCACCCACCCGC
rnacentral:lncRNA from 1 species